AUGGGGCUGAGGCAGUGCCAGAAUAGCUGCCCCCCAGCUGCCUUGAUGCCUGAAAUUGCCCCAUCCCAGAGCUGCGCCCAGACUACCUGUGAGCACAAAGAACACUGGCACCAAAAGGCCCAGGUUCAAGGCCUGGCUCGGGCGUAUCCCAUAUCACAGGGGGUUGUGGCUAGUGUUCUCUCUCUGACUCUCCAGGGAGGCUGGGGGCUGUGUCCCUGCCAGCAGGCCAGCUUCCACACGACGGGCUCACUCCAUCGCCUCAUGCUGUCUGAUCUGUUCUCAGUGCCACCUUUUCUGCAUGGAAGGAGAUCAUGAAAUGUAGGACGGAAAACACAAAUCAAACCCCAGGUUGCCAAGGGGAUGCAGAGCAAAGGAAGACAGGUGGAAACGAUGAGGCGGCCUUCCGGCACAGGUUGGCCAUGGGUGAUGUGCAAAGCUGUCUUCACACCUGCUGUUUCGUUUGAUCUUUAAAGCAAGCCUGAAAACCACAGAGCGCUGCCCCCAUGUGUGGGUGGGGACACUGAGGCACGUCAAGGGAGCUGCACAGGGCCCCACUGCUGCAUGGCUUGGUGAGCAGUGUGUAGGUCCACACCUGGAAUCUGAACCUGUGAACCCCAGACCGCCAAAGCGGAGCAAGUGAACUUAACCACUAGGCCACUGGGCCAGCCCUG
rnacentral:lncRNA from 1 species